rnacentral:tRNA from 13 species
GGGAUGUAACGUAGUGGUUAUCGUGCUUGCUUUGCAAGCAAGAAGUCGUGGGUUCGAA